rnacentral:lncRNA from 1 species
GUGGAGGAGGAGAUGGAGGAGGAGAUGGAGGAGGAGGUGGAGGAGGUGGAGGGGAGGAGGAGAUGGAGGAGGAGGAGAUGGAGGAGGAGGUGGAGGAGGAGGAGAUGGAGGAGGAGGAGAUGGAGGAGGAGGAGGUGGAGGAGGAGAUGGAGGAGGAGGAGAUGGAGGAGGAGAUGGAGGAGGAGGAGAUGGAGGAGGAGAUGGAGGAGGAGGAGAUGGAGGAGGAGAUGGAGGAGGAGGUGGAGGAGGUGGAGGAGGAGGAGAUGGAGGAGGAGAUGGAGGAGGAGGAGAUGGAGGAGGAGAUGGAGGAGGAGGAGAUGGAGCAGAGCUGAAGCAGAAGAGGAAGAGAAGAAGGAAAAGAAAGAGAAGAAAGAGACAGAGAAGGAGGAGAAGGUGAAGAAAAGCGAAGAAAGAAGAAGAGGAAUAGGAGGCAGCAGUGGAGGAAUAGGAGGCAGGCACGUCCCUGAGCAGUCUUGUGGUACCAGAAAGCAAGGAAAUGUUCAAACACGAAAAGACAGGGUGGCAGAAGUCACCCUGAAGGAGCUCUCGGUGGCUAAAUCUGGAGUGAUUCCAACAAGAAUAUAAAAUAAAAUUGGAUUGUAACCCAGAGUACAA